UUAAAAGAUGUUGCAGUAGAGUUUGAGAACUCUGCUUCAAGUAUUGCAAGUCUGAGACAACAAAUUGCAAUAUGUCUUCUUGAGAAUUCAGAUGACCUGACUGACCUAUGCCACUAUUGUGGGAACCAGGAUGGUGACACCCAAUGGAUUGGCUGCGACAUUUGCCCACGGUGGUACCACAGGAGCUGUGCAAAGAAGCCCCGCAAGAGCAAAGAAAACAAAUUUGUCUGUGAAGCAUGCUGGUCAGCCAGUUAGGGUUUCUUUUUUGAAAUGUGUGUUUUGUAUCGUUGUCUCCAAUAGUAUUUAUUAGUUGUUUAUUUAUUUAUUCUUUCAUUUAUGUUUGUGUUGCUGUGUGUGCUUCUGUAUUGUUAACAACAUUAAAAUUCAGCUUUGAUGUUGUUUCAUGGUUUACUGGUGUUCAGCUUCCGCUAUACCCAAUGUUUCUGGUAUAUUUGUUAGUUUAUUUCAA